GAUGAAGAACGUAGCGAAAUGCGAUAAGUAAUGUGAAUUGCAGAAUUCAGUGAAUCAUCGAAUCUUUGAACGCACAUUGCGCCCCUUGGUAUUCCGGGGGGCAUGCCUGUUCGAGCGUCAUUUCAACCCUCAAGCUUCUGCUUGGUCUUGGGCCGUGUCGGCAACGGCUGGCCUUAAAACUAGUGGCGGUGCCAUCGAGCUCUACGCGUAGUAAUUCUAUCUCGCGUCUGGGCUUCGGUGGACGCUGGCCAGCAACCCCCAAUUUUCUAUGGUUGACCUCGGAUCAGGUAGGGAUACCCGCUGAACUUAAGCAUAUCAAUAAGCGGAGGA
rnacentral:misc_RNA from 1 species